AAUUAUUAUAAAAUAUUGGAUAUAUUCCUGAAAGGUUGCUGCUGCAAGCCGUGUGUUAUGCUGGGAUUCGUAUCCUAUCCCCAGAGGAGAGGAUUUCGAUCUAGGGUCAGAGACAAGGCUUGACUACUUGGGGCUUUUCGUGUAAAGUUUUAUUAAAGUAUAACAGAGAUGGGGAAAGCUUCUGACACAGACAGAAAAGAGACAGAAAGAAUGCCCCUUUGCUAGUUUUUAGCAAGGUGUUUUAUGUCUGUUAGAAAGCUAUUAAUCAGGUAAGAAAGACACCUCAAGGCUGAGGGAGUUUUACCAGGCCCCUCUCCCACAAUAUGCAUUUUUGAGAUAGGAUGGCAAGAGGUGUGUCAUCCCCCGGCCAUAAAACAAUUGACAUAAAUGCUGGUUUAUUGAGCCAUUAUCAGCCUAAGGUUUGAGAAAAGAAAAAAAGUCAGUCUUAGGCAGAACCAUUUUGAAGAAAGGCAGAUUCCGAAGCAAAUACAUAGUUUCAUUACACAGCUUAAGAAAAACAUUUCCAUUAAAAAAACAAUAACAACAACAAAUGCAUUGGUUAGCUCAAGGAAGAACCAGGUGUCCUCAACACAGAAUUAAAAGCCUCUUUUAAAUUUGUGUAGAGAAGUGAAAAGAAAACCGUCUGCCACUUGGGGACCUCUGGCCUUCCUACCUGUUACCCUCUCAUUCCGUAUGCUCUAGCAUAUACUCCUGUAUAUAUUCCUGUGGCUUGUUUAUUUUGUACAUAGUUUGUACCUCUGUAUCUCCUACCUCCCUACUAUUUUUUUUUUCUAUAUCUGUGAGUCUGUUUCUGUUUCAUUAUAGUCAUCUUUUUAUUUUUUAGAUUCCAUAUAUAAAUGAUAAGAUACAGUAUGUCUUUCUCUGACUUAGUUCACUAAGCAUAAUACCCACUAGGUCCAUUUCAUUCUUUUUUUUUUCCUUUUUUGAGGUCAGAUGGCAUGUGGAAUCUUAGUUUCCUGACCAGGGAGUAAACCUGUGCCCCCUGCAUUAGAAGCAUGAAGUCUUAACCACUGGACUGCCAGAGAAAUCCCCCCAAAUUUCAUUCUUUUUAUGCCUGAAUAAUAUUCCAUUUGUGUGUGUGUGUGUGUGUGUAUAUACACACCACAUCUUCUUUAUCUGUUGAGGGACUGAUCAUCUGUUGCUGACUAUGGUAAUUCCUGUUGCUAUGAACAUUAGGAUGCAUGUAUCUUUUUGAAUUAGUGUUGUUUUUUACAGAUAUGUACCAUGGAAUGAAAUUGCUGGAUCUUUAUUGCAGUUCUGUUUUUAGUUUUUUGAGGGGUCUCUAUCUUGUUUUUCACAAUGGCUGUACCAAUUUACAUUCCUACGAACAGUUUUUUCGUAGGAAAAAAGGUUUUUCUCCACAUUCUCACCAACAUUUAUUAUUUGUGGUAUCUUUGAUAAUAACCAUUCUGACAGAUGUGAAGGGAUACUUCUUAUUAUUUGAUCUGCAUUUCUCUUAUUAGUAACGUUGAGCAUCUUUUCACAUGUCUAUUGGCCAUCUGAAAGUCUCCUUUGGAAGAAUGCCUAUCAGCUCCUCUGACCAUUUUUAAAUAGCAUUGUUUGCUUUUUGUUGUGAGACAGUAUGAGUUCUUUAUAUAUUUUGGGUAUUAACCCCUUAUAAGGUAUAUGAUUUGCAAAUAUUUUCUCCCAUUUGGUAGGCUGUCUUUUCAUUCUGUCAAUGGUUUUCUUUGCUAUGCAGAUCCCAUUUGUUUAUUUUUGCUUUUGUUUUCUUUACCUUAGGAGACAGAUUUUUUAAAAAUAUUGCUACAAUUUAUGUCAAAGAGUGUUCUGUUUUCUUCUUGGAGUUUUAUGGUUUUCAGUCUUACAUUUAGCUCUUUAAUCCAUUUGGAGUUUAUUUUUGUGUAUGGUGUGAGAAAAUGUUCUGAUUUCAUUCUUUUAUAUGUAACUGUCUAAAUUUCCCAGACUGCUUAUUGAAGAGUGAGUGUAUCUUUUCCCCUUUUCUAUUCUUGCCUCUUUUGUCAUAGAUUAAUUGACUGAAAACGUGUGGGUUUAUUUCUAGCUCUCUACUCUAUUCCAUUGAUCUUUGUGUCUGGUUUUGUGCCAGCACCAUACUGUUUUCAUAACAGAACAGGAAGAGCACAGCCCUUGGCAGGUAGCAUGCUGCUGCUGCUGCUGCUGCUGCUGCUGCUAAGUCACUUCAGUCGUGUCCGACUCUGUGCUACCCCAUUGACGGCAGCCCACCAGGCUUCCCCGUCCCUGGGAUUCUCCAGGCAAGAACACUGGAGUCGGUUGUCAUUUCCUUCUCUAGUGCAUGAAAGUGAAAAGUGAAAGUGAAGUCGCUCAGUCGUGUCCGACUCUAGCGACCCCAUGGACUGCAGCCUACCAGGCUCCUCCAUCCAUGGGAUUUUCCAGAAAAAAGUACUGGAGUCGGGUGCCAUUGCCUUCUCCGGGCAGGAAGCACUGCUAUGCCUAAUUACUCCACAUCCUGUUACUAGGCAACUAGGUCUUGCCCAGCCAUUGGUCGAUGCCUCAGUGGGCCCCACCCACAAGCAGCCAACUGUCAAUGAGUGACCGUUAGUUGUCCUGCUCAGCUAUUGUUCAGCACUGCAGUGGGCCCUGCCCAGUGGUAACUGUCUGUGAGGGACCACUGGGGAAAUGAUUCAGCCAAGGGGUGGCAGUGUGGUGGUCAUCAGGUGGAAAGUGAGGGUUCAGGCACCAUAGAAGAAGUCUGAUUAUCCUGAGACUACCAGACUUUUAAGAAAGCCCAAGGGAGCCUCUUGAAGAUGACGUAUGAAGGAAGAUCAAAGUGCUCUGAUUGACAGCCCCACAAGAAAUCCCAGCCUUUAGGCAGCUCCAACUGCCACCAUCUGGGACAUUCCAAAUCAGUUGAGCCUUCAGUGAGCCCUCUUGGACAUUCCAGACCAGUUGAGCCUCCAGAUGACUGUAGCCACAGCUCAUACCACAUAAGGAAGGAACUACCCAGCAGGUCUCUCUAGAUCGCAGCGCUCUACCACCUAUGCACUCUAGUGCUCAUGGCAGCCUUGACUGGCCCAAAUAUCUCUGCACCUCAGCGUCCUGCAUGGCAGCUUCCAUGAACACUUGGCCAGAUUUUCUUCUCAGCUCUCAGGCAAGCCUACAGCUGCAGUUUCUUUUUAGCCUUUGAGAGAUGUGGCAUGCUGGAUCCCAGAAAGACUCUUGGGUCUUAGUUCAAGAUCUCUGGGAAGCAGAUUGGAGAUGAACAUAUGAGUGCAGCUUUAUUAGGAAGAAAGUGGAGAAAGCGCAAGGUGAACUGUGAGGCAGUGAUGAGAGAGACUUUGAUCCCACAAGGAGCUCUGGAGCUGGAUUGGCCUUGCAAAGGGAUUUCAGAUUGAAGCAAGUGCCUGGAACUUUGUGUGAGCCGUAUUCCCUCAGCUCCUGACUACCAGUGGGCAGUUACACAACAGCUGUAAUGAGAUGUGUGUGGGAAACAGAAGAUAAGUGGUCCUCCAUGUGCAGUGUUAUAAAGAGUAGCCUGAACACUAGCUAGGAUGAUUUUGUCACAAACUCUAUGGUAUAAACCUUCAGCUUUUUAUGGCUUGAACAUUUUCCCAUUUGGCAAUGAAUCUUUUGGGCAACACUGAGCCAGAAAACCUGAAAAGUUUACAUUUAAUAAAAUAUUAGAUUAUUAAAUUGUGUUUCUUUUAAAGAGAGUUGAUCGUGUGUGUGCUCCUUAGAGGAAGUAUUUCCACCUACCUUAAGAGUAGUAGUGAUAUCACUAACCCCAUGAAAAUUAGCUGAAGAAGCUUCAGUGUUUUUUUAAAAAGUAAGUAUCCUAAGAAGACUCUAGCCAAAGACGAUACAUUUACAUAUAAGACAGCAGAAGGGGGUUUUAAUGUCGGUUUGUGACACAUGUCCUUUUAUUUUAGUCACUGCUUUUCUAAAGCAGCUUUGUUCAUUUUUCCUUCAAGUUGUCUUGUGCACCAUUCUAAUGUCACUGUUUCGUUUCACUGGAAGAAUUUUGCCAAGAGUUUGAAUGAGGCCAGUUCUUAUCAAUGUCUUUAGCUGCAUCAACCAGAAAAUUAGUUAAUUUUAAUAACAAUUUGUUUCUUUUAUUCAGUUCACACAGUAAAAAAAAAAAAUUUGGAAUCUCAUUUUGUUGAAUAUGAGACAAGUUACAUAAUUGAAAGUAUAAAUUUAGUGCAAAAGUUUAACAUUGACUAUGAAAUUGCAGUUGAUUCUAGAGCAGUGCAGAGGUUAGGGGCGCUGACCACCCUGCCCCUUGCCGUAGAAAAUCCAUGUUUAAUUUUUGAUCCCUCAGAACUUAAUUUGAAGUAGUCUACUGUUAUAUAAAUCUACACAAUAUAUAACACAUUAUAUAAUAUAUAUUGCAUUCAUGACAUACCUUUUUCUUAAUUUUUUCAAUAUUUCUGAUCUGUGCAGUUCAUCUACAAGUUUUUCAAAUUGUUGCAGACCUCCAAAAAUAUUUUCCAAUAUUUUUGUUGAAAAAAUCUGUGUAUAAGUGGACCAGCACAGUUGAACCUGUGUUGUUCAAGGAUCAACUGUAUUUUUGUUUUGUUUUGUUGUAUUUUUGGCCGAGCUACAUGCCUUGUGGGAUCCCAGAUCCCCAACUAGGGACUGAAAUCAGGUCCUUGCAGCAAGAUCGCAGAGUCCUAACCACUGGACACACAAAAUUCAUGUUUUCAUUCUAACAAGCUGCUAUACUCCACCAAAACGAGACUCCAAUAGUCCAAAGAAAGGUUUUAAUGUUUUUACAUUCAUAGCGGAGUUAAACUGUGUGUACCAUAGCUGAUGUUAAAUAUAUUAAAAAAAUAAUUAUUUCUUCAUGGUUGUACACAUUUUCAGUUGGUUCCUCAAGAUGUUUGGACUUGAAAGAACUAAUUUGGAAGUGAAAGUGUUUUGCAACAUUUUUGCUGGAUAUAGAAUUUUAGAUAGAAAAAUUUCCAUUUUAACCCUAUCAAAUUGUCUCUCUGCUAACCUUCAUUGUUUGUGACAGUAAGUUUGCAGUGAUUCUUACCUUUGUUCUUCUGUGUGUGAUUUCUCUUUUUCCUUUGGUUACUUUAGAAUUUUUUAUCUCAUGUAUAGAAUUUUAUUACAGUUUUCAACUUGUUUUAAAUAUUUUCAACAAUUCUUUUUUCUUUUUCCUCUUCUAAGACUCCAGUUCCAUGUACUGCUUGAUAUAUGUCACAUGUUCUAAGACUC
ensembl:lncRNA